rnacentral:misc_RNA from 1 species
UCGCGGCUUGCGCCGGCAGUCCGUGCAGAGUCCUCAGCGUUGACUGUUAGCAACUGCACGCGGGGGUUGCGCUCGUUAUGGCACUUAAGCCGACACCUCACGGCACGAGCUGACGACAACCAUGCAGCACCUCGGGGAGUGUCCCGUGGGAAACAGGCGUCUCUGCCUGAGUCACUCCCCGUUUGAGCCCGGGUAAGGUUCCUCGCGUAUCAUCGAAUUAAACCACAUGUUCCUCCGCUUGUGCGGGCCCCCGUCAAUUCCUUUGAGUUUCACCGUUGCCGGCGUACUCCCCAGGUGGAAUGCUUAUCGCUUUCGCUUCGCCACCCAGGGGUCAGUCCCCCCGGACAGCCAGCAUUCAUCGUUUACUGCGUGGACUAC